rnacentral:tRNA from 1 species
GCCCCGUUCGUUCAGUCCGGUCAAGGACACGGCCCUUUCGAGGCCGGGACCCGGGUUCAAAUCCCGGACGGGGCA